rnacentral:rRNA from 1 species
UUCCCAGACUCCUACGGGAGGCAGCAGUGGGGAAUAUUGGGCAAUGGGCGCAAGCCUGACCCAGCAACGCCGCGUGAAGGAAGAAGGCUUUCGGGUUGUAAACUUCUUUUCUGGGGGACGAACAAUGACGGUACCCCAGGAAUAAGCCACGGCUAACUACGUGCCGGCAGCCGCGGUAAUACGUAGGUGGCAAGCGUUAUCUGGAUUUAUUGGGUGUAAAGGGCGUGUAGGCGGGAAUGCAAGUCAGAUGUGAAAACUCAGGGCUCAACCCUGAGCCUGCAUUUGAAACUGUGUUUCUUGAGUGCUGGAGAGGCAAUCGGAAUUCCGUGUGUAGCGGUGAAAUGCGUAGAUAUACGGAGGAACACCAGUGGCGAAGGCGGAUUGCUGGACAGUAACUGACGCUGAGGCGCGAAAGCGUGGGGAGCAAACAGGAUUAGAUACCCGUGUAG